rnacentral:tRNA from 1 species
GAGAUAGCUCAGUUGGUAAAGUGCCUGCCUUGCAAGCAGGAGGACCCAGGUUCAAUCCCUGACACUCA